AUAUUUAUUGGCUGAGGGAGCAACAACACAAUUCUGAUGAUUCUGCCAAUGUUGCUUAUUUACUUGCAAGGACCAGAGGGUAUGCUGAUGCUGCGCAGGCACUUGAGCUAUUUACAGAAGGAGCGGACCCGACCUUCUUCAUGUCUUGUGGCUGUGUCUUCCUUUGAUUC